CAAAUAUCGAUAGCAUUUCAAUAACUUAAAAAAGCUAGCGAUCCUCGUGGUCAAAUCGCUGUCUUUAUCGUUACGAUUAUAGCAAGGUAUUUUCUAGCCAAUUUCCCACCGGGAUUGAUACAACAUAAAGCAGUGGUAUUAACAUCUCUUUCACACUUAUUAUACCUCCUACCUAUUUACCUCUUAGAGCUAACACUCUACGUGGUUUCUGUACUGCAUUUAUUCCUGUUUCAUUUACAUCGUUAAGCAAACCAGAAGUAGUAUUGCAAUUAUCAACAAGUUCAGUUUAUUAAAAAAUAUUACAACCUUUUCCUAACAAAAACAUUGACAUAGAUGUUGGUUGAAGUAAUUUCAAACGAAGAAAUGCUUGGAGAAAGUAGUUUUUCUUAAUAUGGUAAAAACCUUAGCAUUGAGCGAGCCGAGGCGAUUUUCUUUAUUAAUUUAAUCGACAAAAGGCGUGUAAAUCACAAAAGAACAAAUAAUAUUUUUCACAUUUAUUUUUAAUGUAUUUAUUAAUAGCUAUUAUUUAAAUAUAAAUUCAUUUU